AUUGAACGCUGGCGGCAGGCCUAACACAUGCAAGUCGAGCGGAUGAGUGGAGCUUGCUCCAUGAUUCAGCGGCGGACGGGUGAGUAGUGCCUAGGAAUCUGCCUGGUAGUGGGGGACAACGUUUCGAAAGGAACGCUAAUACCGCAUACGUCCUACGGGAGAAAGUGGGGGAUCUUCGGACCUCACGCUAUCAGAUGAGCCUAGGUCGGAUUAGCUAGUUGGUGAGGUAAAGGCUCACCAAGGCGACGAUCCGUAACUGGUCUGAGAGGAUGAUCAGUCACACUGGAACUGAGACACGGUCCAGACUCCUACGGGAGGCAGCAGUGGGGAAUAUUGGACAAUGGGCGAAAGCCUGAUCCAGCCAUGCCGCGUGUGUGAAGAAGGUCUUCGGAUUGUAAAGCACUUUAAGUUGGGAGGAGGGGCAGUAAGUUAAUACCUUGCUGUUUUGACGUUACCAACAGAAUAAGCACCGGCUAACUUCGUGCCAGCAGCCGCCGUAAGAC
rnacentral:rRNA from 1 species